rnacentral:rRNA from 1 species
GAUGAACGCUGGCGGCGUGCCUAAUACAUGCAAGUCGAGCGAACGGACGAGAAGCUUGCUUCUCUGAUGUUAGCGGCGGACGGGUGAGUAACACGUGGAUACCCUACCUAUAAGACUGGGAUAACUUCGGGAAACCGGAGCUAAUACCGGAUGAUAUUUUGAACCGCAUGGUUCAAAAGUGAAAGACGGUCUUGCUGUCACUUAUAGAUGGAUCCGCGCUGCAUUAGCUAGUUGGUAAGGUAACGGCUUACCAAGGCAACGAUGCAUAGCCGACCUGAGAGGGUGAUCGGCCACACUGGAACUGAGACACGGUCAAGACUCCUACGGGAGGCAGCAGUAGGGAAUCUGACGCAAUGGGCGAAAGCAUGACGGAGCAACGCCGCGUGAGUGAUGAAGGUCUUCGGAUCGUAAAACUCUGUUAUUAGGGAAGAACAGAUGUGUAAGUAAAUGUGCACAGCUUGACGGUACCUAAUCAGAAAGCCACGGCUAACUACGUG